GAUGAACGCUAGCGGCAGGCUUAAUACAUGCAAGUCGAGGGACAGCACAGGUAGCAAUACUGGGUGGUAACCGGCAAACGGGUGCGGAACACGUACACAACCUUCCUUUAAGUGGGGAUAGCCCAGAGAAAUUUGGAUUAAUACCCCGUAAUAUAGUUGAAUGGCAUCAUUUGAUUAUUAUAGCUACGGCGCUUAAUGAUGGGCGUGCGGCUGAUUAGAUAGUUGGCGGGGUAACGGCCCACCAAGUCUACGAUCAGUAGCUGAUGUGAGAGCAUGAUCAGCCACACGGGCACUGAGACACGGGCCCGACUCCUACGGGAGGCAGCAGUAAGGAAUAUUGGUCAAUGAACGCAAGUCUGAACCAGCCAUGCCGCGUGAAGGAUUAAGGUCCUCUGGAUUGUAAACUUCUUUUAUUUGGGACGAAAAAGGGCCUUUCUAGGUCAACUGACGGUACCAGAUGAAUAAGCACCGGCUAACUCCGUGCCAGCAGCCGCCGUAAAAC
rnacentral:rRNA from 1 species